rnacentral:tRNA from 1 species
GGGGUUGGGGAUUUAGCUCAGUGGUAGAGCGCUUGCCUAGCAAGCGCAAGGCCCUGGGUUCGGUCCUCAGCUCUA